UGUGAGGGGAGAGAGAGAGUGUGUGUGUGUGUGUGGUCCAUGCAAGUUGGUAAGAGUUAGGUGAAAGAUGACAUCACCAAUUGUACCCACAAAGCAUCUUUCAUCUCAUUGGCCAAUUUCAAAAAAUGAAAUGAAAAUGGGAGACACGAGGUACAAUCUUUGGUGGCUUUUGUCAUAAAAUAUUUUUACUAACAUGUAACAACCAUAUAAUAUAUCAUAUUAUGGAUCAAAAGACAAGAUCUCUAGGGAUCAACAAGAACAUUUUCAUGAACACAUCAAGAACACAAAGAACAUUCUUAUUGUCUUAGGACCUCUCACAUAUUCAUGAAAUCCUAAAAUCUUGGAAAAAUCAUAUUUGUGUUUAGACUUUCAAGACCAACGUAUAUUACAUACACAUGGGUUUCAUGGAACCCAAAAAUCUCCCCUAUGCUGCCA
rnacentral:lncRNA from 1 species